rnacentral:rRNA from 1 species
UGAGAGGAAGGUCCCCCACAUUGGAACUGAGACACGGUCCAAACUCCUACGGGAGGCAGCAGUGAGGAAUAUUGGUCAAUGGGCGAGAGCCUGAACCAGCCAAGUAGCGUGAAGGAUGACUGCCCUAUGGGUUGUAAACUUCUUUUAUAAAGGAAUAAAGUCGGGUAUGCAUACCCGUUUGCAUGUACUUUAUGAAUAAGGAUCGGCUAACUCCGUGCCAGCAGCCGCGGUAAUACGGAGGAUCCGAGCGUUAUCCGGAUUUAUUGGGUUUAAAGGGAGCGUAGAUGGAUGUUUAAGUCAGUUGUGAAAGUUUGCGGCUCAACCGUAAAAUUGCAGUUGAUACUGGAUAUCUUGAGUGCAGUUGAGGCAGGCGGAAUUCGUGGUGUAGCGGUGAAAUGCUUAGAUAUCACGAAGAACUCCGAUUGCGAAGGCAGCCUGCUAAGCUGCAACUGACAUUGAGGCUCGAAAGUGUGGGUAUCAAACAGGAUUAGAUACCCUGGUAGUCCACACGGUAAACGAUGAAUACUCGCUGUUUGCGAUAUACAGCAAGCGGCCAAGCGAAAGCGUUAAGUAUUCCACCUGGGGAGUA